rnacentral:rRNA from 1 species
AGACCGAUAGCAAACAAGUACAGUGAUGGAAAUUUGAAAAGAACUUUGAAGAGAGAGUUAAGAGUACGUGAAACUGUAUGGUGGUAAACGGAGCCUUCCUCGAAGUUCUCCGGGUGGACCCAACCUAGGGAUGAGGCAGCCCUGGGCAUCAGAUCAGCAAUGACUGGUGUCUGGGCGUUUGCUUUGUUCAAGGGUGCAUCUCCAUCCGGUGUUACGGUAGGAACUCUUGAGACGGGACCGAAGGCCUGGGAUGAAGUUUUCGCUUCGGCGUCAGCUCCCGGUGUCCUGGCUCCUGGCUCGAGAGGCUUUUGACUGGCUUGUACAGCAAGCAACCCUUCUGUUGCGGCCAGUCAUUCCCUAUCGAGUAGGUCGGUGGAGGCUCCGACCCGUCUUGAAACACGGGC